rnacentral:rRNA from 1 species
GAUGAACGCUAGCUACAGGCUUAACACAUGCAAGUCGAGGGGUAACGAGAGGAAAGCUUGCUUUCCUUGUCGACGACCGGCGCACGGGUGAGUAACGCGUAUCCAACCUGCCCCCAACUAAGGAAUAACCUUGCGAAAGUAAGACUACUACCUUAUAAUCUCCUCAGAUGUCAUCUGACGAGGAAUAAAGAUUUAUCGGUUGUGGAUGGGGAUGCGUCUGGUUAGCUUGUUGGCGGGGUAACGGCCCACCAAGGCAACGAUCAGUAGGGGUACUGAGAGGAAGGUCCCCCACAUUGGAACUGAGACACGGUCCAAACUCCUACGGGAGGCAGCAGUGAGGAAUAGUGGUCAAUGGGCGGAAGCCUGAACCAGCCAAGUAGCGUGCAGGAUGACGGCCCUAUGGGUUGUAAACUGCUUUUAUACAGGAAUAAAGUUAGCCACGUGUGGUUAUUUGUAGGUACUGUAUGAAUAAGGACCGGCUAAUUCCGUGCCAGCAGCCGCCGUAA